UACAGAGGGUGCGAGCGUUGUCCGGAAUCACUGGGCGUAAAGGGCGCGUAGGCGGUCUGGUAAGUCGGGGGUGAAAGCCCCGGGCUCAACCUGGGAAUUGCAUUCGAGACUGAAUAGCUAGGGUACGGUAGAGGGAAGCGGAAUUUCCGGUGUAGCGGUGAAAUGCGUAGAUAUCGGAAGGAACAUCAGUGGCGAAAGCGGCUUCCUGGACCAGUACCGACGUUCAGGCACGAAAGCGUGGGGAGCAAACAGG
rnacentral:rRNA from 1 species